rnacentral:tRNA from 1 species
AGAAAAGUAAGCUAAAUAUAAGCUAAUGGGUUCAUACCCCAUCUAUAGGGUUAUUCCUCUUCUCUA